rnacentral:siRNA from 1 species
UAAACCAAGGUGUGAUGAUAAA